GUCUGUCAGCAUCCACAAUCGUGAACCUGUGGUCCCUAUGGGCAUUACAAGGAGUGUAUGGAGGAUGUCAUAUAAAGUAUUUCCACUGCUACAGCAGUGAUUCUAUUCUGGGGCUGAUUUACUCCCUCCUUCCAUCCACCCCUGUGGACAUUGUCAGUGUCCAGAGAUGUUUGUGUUGUCUUCACAGUGUGUGUGGUGUCCUAUUGGCAUCAAGAGGGUAGAGCCCAGGGAUGCUGCCAAACAACCUGCGAUGCUUGACAUAUCCACUCAAAAAAGAAUCCUUUAGCCUCUGAUGUCAAUAAAGCCAUGGUUGAGAAACUACGGCAUCAAGAAAUAUUUAAAAGCAUUUGCCAUCCUGGUGAAAGGUCAGUAGUAUGAGGUAGCCUCACAGUGAGUGGACAGAGUGGAGCCCCGGGGCAGACAGACUCUGGCAGGAGUGUGGGCAUCUGUAAUUCUCUAGGGUGCGGAGCUCAGCUUCACGGCUAUGCCUCUGCCUGGAAGCUCCUCAUAUUUUCUCUGUUCUGUCAUUCUCAUCCAGUUUGUCCUUCAAGACAAAACUCAGUCAUCACCUCCACAUGAAGGCUUCCUUCCUGAAGAGUUCACAGCUCAUAAGGAGUUUGUUCUUCCUUGAAUUUCUAUAGGUCUUAAAUUUCUUAAAGUCUGAGCCUACAAACAAUCUGAACCCAGGUCUCUGUGGUCCUCACCACCAUGCUCAUGGUGGCGGAGGCAGAGCUGCCUACAGGAACGCCCACCAUCCUGUGAAAUUGAUGUGGGUACCACUGUGGCCCUCAGCUGGGAUUAUGCAAACACUGCAAUGUGCUCACUGAUAACACAACUGAUAAACAUGCCUCUUGUUAAUAAAGGACUUUCGUGGUGCUUCUCAGUCCUACUGCCUGCACAGAAUCACCAGUGGAGUUUGAAUAGUACAGGUGUCUGGGCAUCACCUCAGGCCUACUGAAUCAAAAUCUAGAGAGGGGAGCCAGCCAAUCCAUAUUUUUUAAAAGCUCCCAAGUGAUUUGAUUGUUCUAUUGAGUCUGCAAACCUCUGGCCAGGAGUGUAAGUCCUCUCAAAUAUGCUUUCAUUUAAGCGGGUAAUUUCUGAUGAAAGAAAAUGCUUCCUACUCACACACAGCAGGAUAGCACAAGAGUGGAGUGGUGGGUGGGGAGCGUAUUGCUUUAGCUGGGUGCUGCCUUCACCUCCAUUAAAAAUGAAAUUGACCCAGGUAGCAAAGCUCUGUUUAAAUAGAAGACUCGAGCUCACGGAGGAAGGGGAAGUGUGCACUCACUCUGUUCACCUGUCUCUUCAUUCUUCCCUGCCUAGAGCCCAAGAGCAGAGAAACUCCACACUUGUGAUGCUUGUCUGGCUCCUGACACCCCAGAACUCCUUGGGGAAAAAAGAGCAUUGAGUUCAUUUAAUCAUCACAUCAGCCUAAGAUGAUAUGUGGGUGGCUAGUCAUCAUGGUAGCCUUGCUCUUUGUGGACUGAAAAUGUGAACCUCCUCAUUGUUGUCAUCUCCACCAGAAACAAAGUCUCUGGGCUUGGAAUGAGCCAGGGAGAGAACAGACAAAGGAGUUUUUCCCCAAAGAAGGUAUCCAAGGGUAGAACGUGUUCAAUAGUGUUUUAAGGUACUUCUGUGUGAAGACAAAGGUGAUGGAAGACGAGCUGAGGGAGAAGACAAUUCUUGUUCAGACUUGAUCAGUGUGCACUUGAACCAGGUCAGUUAUCAGCAUGCAGAGGAGGGGUCAAAUUAGGUCUCCCUAGGAGCCUGUCUCUGUAAACAAAGUGCAGCCCCCAGCUUCCCAGUCCCUGGAUCUGCCCUCCUGAAGUCAGAAUACACCUGUGCCUCUGCACUAACACAAAAAACAAAGGUCCAAGGAUCAAAAGGUCAAAGGCAAACAGGAAACAUUUCCAGAGGUGGCUGAACGCCCUCCUGGAGGACAGAGCAGAAUCCCUCAGGGCUGAUUUCCUGCGGUUCCCCACUCAGGAAGAAGGGAGGCCAGGGCAAUGUGACACAGAUGGAUGGCAUAACCCUCCAGGGAAAGGGAGGAGUCAGAAGGAAGGGCUGGAAGCCAGACCUUGUGACCUGCCAUGUGCCAUGUGGGCAGGACCAGCGAAGCUCUCCAAGUACACAUAGCCCUGGACUCCCCAGGCUCCUGAGUGCAGCUCAUAAUAGCUCACUGUUUGCUAAAGCCGAAAGCUCAAAGCAACCGAACCACCAUGAGGCUGUCCCUGUCUGUCCUGCUGGUCACUCUGGCCCUUUGCAGCUAUGGGGCCACUGAUAUCAUCUGUCCAUCCGUUUUUACUGAUCUCGCAGCCUUUCUAUUCGUUCCUGACUUACCCUACAAGGCACAACUUCAGAAAUACAAUGCACCUGAUGAACUUAUUGAGGCCAAGCUGCAAGUGAAGCAAUGCACAAAUAAUAUCACCUUGAAGAACAGAUUGAUAAUUUCAGAGAUAUUGGCAAAAUUAUCAUUGAAGUGUACUCGCCUUGGUUUAUCAAGUCUCCUACCGUAAUACCCCUGUCUCGCAAUGAUCGCCUGCUCUUUCUUGGAAAAUGCAAAGGUUUCAACAUCUUGCUUCAAUAAAUUACUUGCCCUGCA